AGAACGAACGCUGGCGGCAGGCCUCAAACAUGCAAGUCUAGGGGGUGUAGCAAUACAUCACCGGCGGACGGGUGCGUAACACGUGGGAAUAUACCUUUCGGUACGGAACAACUGCGGGAAACUGCAGCUAAUACCGUAUACGUCCUAGCGGAGAAAGAUUUAUCGCCGAAGGAUUAGCCCGCGUUCGAUUAGCUAGUUGGUGGGGUAAUGGCCCACCAAGGCGACGAUCGAUAGCUGUUCUGAGAGGAAGAUCAGCCACACUGGGACUGAGACACGGCCCAGACUCCUACGGGAGGCAGCAGUUGGGAAUCUUGGACAAUGGGGGAAACCCUGAUCCAGCCAUGCCGCGUGAGUGAUGAAGGCCUUCGGGUUGUAAAACUCUUUCGACGGGGACGAUAAUGACGGUACCGUAGAAGAGCUCCGGCUAACUCGCGCCAGCAGCCGC
rnacentral:rRNA from 1 species